rnacentral:rRNA from 1 species
GACGAGCGCUGGCGGCGUGCUUAACACAUGCAAGUCGAACGGUAAGGCCCUUCGGGGUACACGAGUGGCGAACGGGUGAGUAACACGUGGGUGAUCUGCCCUGCGCUUCGGGAUAAGCCUGGGAGACUGGGUCUAAUACCGGAUAGGACCACUGCCUGCAUGGGUGGUGGUGGAAAGCUUUUGCGGUGUGGGAUGGGCCCGCGGCCUAUCAGCUUGUUGGUGGGGUGAUGGCCUACCAAGGCGACGACGGGUAGCCGGCCUGAGAGGGUGACCGGCCACACUGGGACUGAGAUACGGCCCAGACUCCUACGGGAGGCAGCAGUGGGGAAUAUUGCACAAUGGGCGCAAGCCUGAUGCAGCGACGCCGCGUGAGGGAUGACGGCCUUCGGGUUGUAAACCUCUUUCAGCACCGACGAAGCGCAAGUGACGGUAGGUGCAGAAGAAGGACCGGCCAACUACGUGCCAGCCGCCGCGGUAA